rnacentral:rRNA from 1 species
ACGGGUGAGGAACACGUGGGUCAUCUACCUCCGGGUGAGGAAUACCGGCGAGAAAUCGCCGACAAUACCGCAUAUCCUUCUCACGAAGGAAAGCUCCGCAAGGGGCGCCGGGAGAUGAGCCUGCGGCUGAUUAGCUAGCUGGUGGGGUAAUGGCCUACCAGGGCGACGAUCAGUAGCUGGUCUGAGAGGACGAUCAGCCACACUGGGAUUGAGAACGGCCCAGACUCCUACGGGGGGCAGCAGUGAGGAAUUUUCGGCAAUGGGGGCAACCCUGACCGAGCAACGCCGCGUGCAGGAUGACGGCCUUCGGGUUGUAAACUGCUUUUCUUUGGGACGAGUAAGGACGGUACCAGAGGAACAAGCCCCGGCUAACUACGUGCCAGCAGCCGCGGUAAUACGUAGGGGGCAAGCGUUGUCCGGAGUUACUGGGCGUAAAGCGCACGCAGGCGGUCUGCGAAGUUUGGAGUGACAGUUGGGGGCUCAACUCCCAAAGUGCUUCGAAAACUGGCAGACUUGAGGGCUUCAGAGGGACACGGAAUUCCGGGUGGAGUGGUGAAAUGCGUAGA